AGAUCACCACUGUGACUUGCAAGCAACUCACUGUGCUUUGGUGCUGGACUACUUAAAUUUUAAUUCAGGAUUGAAAAAUUUUUGGAUACAGUCAAGUACUUGUAAAGUUGGUGUGUGAGUCAAGAUAGAAUUGACCACUCCAAGAUAUUGGAGAGUAUGCCUCAAUGUGUUUCAAUUUAGCAAAAUCUUGAUCAGGAUAGUCCUUAUGAAGAGUCAAAGGAUUAAUUAGAUUGAGGCACAUAUAAGG
rnacentral:lncRNA from 1 species